UGGAAGCAGUGGCAUGAACAUGAUCCUGGAGGGGGCACCUGGGACUCGUAGGCCUUCCUCCCAAAUACUUCAAUCCCAUGAUCACUAGGGCCUGAUCUAGCUCCACUGAAGUCCCUGGUGCAGCAAACUGGUAAAUCACCAAGAACCUGAGACAGGAAACAAGGAAAUGAGCAGGAACCCUCGUCCCUCUCAGAUUUUAGAAGGCACUUCAGAUUCUUAAACCUUGGGUCGAGUGCUGUAGCUAUAUUUAGAAAUCUUACUUUGGUACCUUCUUGCAUUUUGUGAAAUUUGCACUGAAAGUGUUCUUAAAAUGAACAACAUGUGCUGGGUCAUCCUCCGAGACUGCUAUAACAAGAAAUAUAUGGCAGAAUGCG